rnacentral:rRNA from 1 species
GAUCCUGGCUCAGAAUCAACGCUGGCGGCGCGCCUAACACAUGCAAGUCGAACGAGAAAGCCGGAGCAAUCUGGUGAGUAAAGUGGCGUACGGGUGAGUAACACGUGGGUAAUCUACCUCUUAGUGGGGAAUAACCCUGGGAAACCGGGGAUAAUACCGCAUAAGCUCGAGAGAGGAAAGCAGCAAUGCGCUGAGAGAGGAGCCCGCGGCCGAUUAGCUAGUUGGUGAGGUAAGAGCCCACCAAGGCAAAGAUCGGUAGCCGGCCUGAGAGGGCACACGGCCACACUGGCACUGAAACACGGGCCAGACUCCUACGGGAGGCA